AUGGCUUUCGCUGGCGCAUCUCUCGUCGCCGAUGGCAUGUUGUGCGCCUCCACCAAGUCGGCCGUCGACUCUGGCGCCGACAGCGGGUACCACCUGCUCAUCGUUGAAGGCUACUCGCGCACCAAAGAGACGACUCCCAACGGCGAGUGGAUCGAGUCUCGUCCAUUCAUUGUUGGCGGCCGUCGCUGGACCAUCGACUACAGCCCUAAUGGCGAUAACUCGGAAGAUGAAGAAUUUAUAUCGGUUUUCCUUGUCCUUGACGACGAUAUCAAUCACAGCGUGAAGGUUCAGUAUGUCUUCAGUUUCAUCGACCAGCCUGAGUUGCGGGUGUCAAAGCACAUCCGCCAAAGCGAACCUGUCUUCUUCUCUGAACGCCAUGAUGUUCAUGGCCAUCAUGGUCGGUUUAGAUUCAUGAAAAGGGAGGUUUUUGAAAGAUCAAAGCAUCUCAAGCACGACCGCUUCGUCCUCCGGUGUGACCUUGUUGUGCUCAAGUCGGAUGGGAAUACCAAGGAGCAGGGCGUCGGCACCAGCGCUCUUCCGUUCAAUGAACUGUCACCACCGUCCGACUUGCAGAGCCAUUUUGCCGAUCUCCUCCUGAGCAAGGAGGGUGCUGACAUUACGUUUGAGGUUGGCGGCGAGAAGUUCGCUGCGCACCGGUGCGUGCUUGCAGCCCGAUCCUCCAUCUUCAAGGCACAGCUCUAUGGUGCCAUGAAUGAAUCGAGUGUCGUCAAGAUAACCGACAUGAAAGCAAAAGUCUUCGGGAGCUUGCUGACUUUCAUCUACACUGAUGCAGUGCCUGAAUUUGUUGACAUGGAAGCAUACGAUGGCCAUGAAAUUAUAUAUGCACCUCGGCUGCUGCAGUUCCUUGAAGCUGCGGAAAGAUAUGAUCUCCAGAGGCUCAAAUCGAUCUGUGAAGAGAAGUUAGCCAGUUUCAUAUGCGCAGAAACUGUGGCAGACAUCUUUGCCGUGGCUGAGCGGAGACGGUGCUUCGGGUUAAAGGAGGCCUGCUUGGAGUUCAUCAAAGCCGACCCAAGUUUACACGCAACUUUCGCGGCUGGUGGCCUGGGGCAGAUAACCGGGACCCGUAGUCCCUCCCUUCUCAAGCGGCUGCUCUCCAAGUUUGGUUUGCUGAAACUCUGA
rnacentral:rRNA from 1 species